GUCGAUGUGACAUUUUGAGAACACUUUAAAAGAAAAGAGCGAGACCUUUAUUUGAUUUUACUGGCAGUAGGGCGACAGAUAACUACGUUAUUUUAAAGAUCGGUUAAGACAACACCGCCACAGUCUCUGGUUGUGAUAUAUAAGGUCACCAUGAAAGUAGUACUGUUGAUGUUUUUAGUUGCUGUAACCAAUGUCGCCAGCAAUAAUGAAGAGACCGAGUCGGAUUUAUUCGGUCUACCUGUGUCGGCAAACACCCAGUAUUACAACUUACAUCAAAUAGCUCAUCCAAUCUAUAACUACCAAAACUCAAGAAACCGAUAUAACCCCCAUCAAACCCCAAGAAACCGAUAUAACCCCUAUCAAAUAGCACAACGCCAGCAAUACGUCUUCAGUACCCAGUUUAAUCCCCUGAGGGUUGUCAGAAACUAUAAUAGUAUUCAAAAGAGGAGAAGAAGAUAUAACCCAUAUCAAAUAGCACGACCUCGAUCUGGAUGGUUGUGGUGAAUAUUAAAUUAGAACUGGAUCGUUAUAAACCUGGGGCCUGUUUCACAAAUUUUAACUAACGUAAAAUCCAAAUUUUAGUAAUUUGAUUGGAUAAUAUUAGAUUGGUUUUAGUGCUUAACCAAUCAAAAUUGAAGUAUCUACUAAAAUUUGGAUUUUAUCUUUAGUUAAAGAUUUCGAGAAACGGGGCCCAGCUUUAUAUUCAGUACAUACACUGUGAAACUGAUACCGUUCACAUGUGAACCAGGGUAUUUUACUAAUGAAAUGUUUUGUUAUUAAGUCAUACAAGUUAGUAAGUAUAAAAGAGUGGUUAAAGUUAUACAGGACUAUGAGUAAUUAUAAUCAGUCAUGUAGCUAUCUGUAAAAGAUACCAUUUCUAGUGUGAAAGUGAGACUUUAUCUAAUAUACUAUUAAAUGAAUAGACAACCAAUAGUGGUGGAGCACCUUGCUGUCAUAGUAACUUUACGUAAUUACUACCGUUUGGAUACUAAUAUGUUGACCAGGACAAUUUAGACCAUUAGUAAAAACCAUUUACAGUAAUGGCAGUAUAUUUUAUUGUCAAAUGUUUGUAGAUCAACAUUAUUGGCCCCAUCCCGGUCAAAUCAGAAUACUUUAGCUAUUUAAUAUUCAUUUAGUGGCAUUUAGUAACUGGAUAGUUUAAUAAACUUUAACAUAUAUUUAUGGAAAACA